rnacentral:rRNA from 1 species
AUGUACUGGUUUUCUUGGUGGAAACUUUGCUACCCGAAGAGUGAAGGAGGUGUGGGUUUCAGGGACCUCUAUUCUUUUAACCUUGCAAUGUUGGCUAAGCAGUCUUGGAGGCUUAUAACAAACCCAUAUUCAUUAUGUGCAAAAAAAAUUAAAAGCAAAGUAUGUCCGUCAUAGCAGUUUGCUGCAAGCUACUCUUAAGAUGGAGCUUCUUUCACAUGGCAAAGCAUAAUGAAGGGUUUAGAAACUUUCAAGAGAGGCUACAUAUGGAGGACAGGUACAAGCUAACAAGUAAACAUUUGGAACGACCCUUGGGUACCGUCGAGUCCUGACAGAAAAAAUAUUUCACCACGUGGACAGACCGUUCUCACUACGGUCAAUGACCUCAUUGACCCUAUGACCGGAUCGUGGGAUGAUAAUCUAAUCCAAAGUAUCUUCAAUCCGGUUGAUGUUAGGAGAACUGUAGAAAUCCCACUAAACCUACAAGCUUUUGAGGAUUUCAUAGCAUGGCAUCCUAAUCGAAAAGGUAUUUUUUCAGUUCGGACAACAUAUCAUAUGCAGUGGAUACAAUCUUUUAGGAAACAUGGAAACUUGAAGGCCGGUAGCUCUAGAUCACCGGCUGUGUGGAGUACUCUCUGGAAAUUAAAGCGUAAAGUUUAG